UUGAACGCUGGCGGCAUGCCUUACACAUGCAAGUCGAACGGUAGAGGGGCAACCCUUGAGAGUGGCGAACGGGUGAGUAAUAUAUCGGAACGUGCCCAGUCGUGGGGGAUAACGCAGCGAAAGCUGCGCCAAUACCGCAUACGAUCUAUGGAUGAAAGCGGGGGAUCGCAAAGACCUCGCGCGAUUGGAGCGGCCGAUAUCAGAUUAGGUAGUUGGUGGGGUAAAAGCC
rnacentral:rRNA from 1 species